AACAUGAGAGUUUGAUCCUGGCUCAGGAUGAACGCUGGCGGCGUGCCUAACACAUGCAAGUCGAACGGGGACAUGUUGAAACCUAGUGAUACAUGUCUUAGUGGCGGACGGGUGAGUAACGCGUGGGCAACCUGCCCCAUACCGGGGGAUAACACCUGGAAACAGGUGCUAAUACCGCAUAAGCGCACAGCUUCGCAUGGAGCAGUGUGAAAAACUCCGGUGGUAUGGGAUGGGCCCGCGUCUGAUUAGCUUGUUGGCGGGGCAACGGCCCACCAAGGCGACGAUCAGUAGCCGGCCUGAGAGGGUGAACGGCCACAUUGGGACUGAGACACGGCCCAAACUCCUACGGGAGGCAGCAGUGGGGAAUAUUGGACAAUGGGGGAAACCCUGAUCCAGCGACGCCGCGUGAGUGAAGAAGUAUUUCGG
rnacentral:rRNA from 1 species